rnacentral:rRNA from 1 species
CCUACGGGGGGCAGCAGUGGGGAAUAUUGGACAAUGGGCGAAAGCCUGAUCCAGCCAUGCCGCGUGUGUGAAGAAGGCCUUCGGGUUGUAAAGCACUUUCAGUGGGGAAGAAAGCCUUGGGGCUAAUACCCUCGAGGAAGGACAUCACCCACAGAAGAAGCACCGGCUAACUCCGUGCCAGCAGCCGCGGUAAUACGGAGGGUGCGAGCGUUAAUCGGAAUUACUGGGCGUAAAGCGCGCGUAGGCGGUCUGAUAAGCCGGUUGUGAAAGCCCCGGGCUCAACCUGGGAACGGCAUCCGGAACUGUCAAGCUAGAGUGCAGGAGAGGAAGGUAGAAUUCCCGGUGUAGCGGUGAAAUGCGUAGAGAUCGGGAGGAAUACCAGUGGCGAAGGCGACCUUCUGGACUGACACUGACGCUGAGGUGCGAAAGCGUGGGUAGCAAACAGGAUUAGAUACCCGAGUAGUC